rnacentral:rRNA from 1 species
AGUGAACGCUGGCGGUAGGCCUAACACAUGCAAGUCGAACGGCAGCACAGUAAGAGCUUGCUCUUACGGGUGGCGAGUGGCGGACGGGUGAGGAAUACAUCGGAAUCUACUUUUUCGUGGGGGAUAACGUAGGGAAACUUACGCUAAUACCGCAUACGACCUACGGGUGAAAGCAGGGGAUCUUCGGACCUUGCGCGAUUGAAUGAGCCGAUGUCGGGUUAGCUAGUUGGCGGGGUAAAGGCCCACCAAGGCGACGAUCCGUAGCUGGUCUGAGAGGAUGUUGCGCGACACGGGAACUGAGACACGGUACAGACUCCUACGGGAGGCAGCAGUGGGGAAUAUUGGACAAUGGGCGCAAGCCUGAUCCAGCCAUACCGCGUGGGUGAAGAAGGCCUUCGGGUUGUAAAGCCCUUUUGUUGGGAAAGAAAAGCAGCAGGUUGAUACCCCGCUGUUCUGACGGUACCCAAAGAAUAAGCACCGGCUAACUUCGUG